rnacentral:lncRNA from 1 species
UUUUGAACUCUUCGCUCUGUUUUCAUUGUGAACUUCUGGCAAGUACUGUGGAAAAAUCUGUCACUUGCCCUUACAAACUGAAACUCCAUAACCCAAGGAAAUAUUUUGGGCACUGUUAUGGCUGACUAAGACUGUAGCUCAAGUCUCAAAUUGAACCAUAUGAAUUUGUACAAGCACCAUUAGCAGAAUUAUAAUCUCAAAUCAAGGUAUGUAACUGGAUAUCCAUGUUUGAAAAGCCUGGCUUGUGUAAUUGAGCACAUAAUUAUGCAAGCAGAUUUGGUUGUACAACUUUUAAUGCCAGCCAGCAAUGCUGCAUUUCUAGCACUUUUUCCACUUUGUGCAAACCGGCAGGAACUGGGAAAUUAAACAUUAUCAUAUUUAUUCUAUACGGAUUUUCUGCUCACUUUGAAGAACUACAUCUGAAACUAACAAGGUUAGCUGAAGAAAUGUAUCUUUCAAGAAAAGGCACCAUAAACAAGAGUAAUUUCAGAAGUUCAGCUCUUCAUAAGUUCUAUGUCUGAGAUCUGGAAAUCAUCUGAUAUUGUGAUACUUGCACUAAAAAUCACAAUGGCGGCCAGGAGAUCUUUUCUUCAUCUUGAACAGGUCUGAACAGAAAUGCAAACCCUCUGCUUUGCUGCUUGGUUUUACUUUACUUACCAAAUCUACUGUCAUCAUCUUGCCUACUAGGUAAAAGACUUGGAAACCUUACAUCUUUUGUGGUGGGGUAACUUCUUUUGUUCAUUGCCAGACAUCCAUCAAGCUGUACUCUCACUCCCUUCCUCAAUACAGCAGGAUAAGGGAAUAGAAAAGCUUGUGGGUCAAGAUAAAGACAGAUUACUCACCAGUUAGAUGGCUUUGGGACUUCUGUGUGUUCAGUAACAGAUUUUUUUGAAAUUUUCCCACGCUGAUAGAUCAACAAGAGAUGUUUUACUGCAGAGACAGGUCUUACUCUGAUACAUAAAAUCCCUGUGAUGUCAACAGACUCUAGUGCAGUACAGAAAAGCCCCAGUCUGUAGCUGUUCUCCUUUUUAACUCCUUUUGUAUGGGUUGUAUUUAAGUGUAAGCAAUCGUAUGCUGCAUGGACUUGUCUUACAAAUUCCAGUCCUUUCUGAAAAACAUUUAGUCUGUACUUGCGUUUUAUGUGCAGGAAUCUGCUGCAUCUUUAAGUGCCACGUUUAAUAAAAAAGCCUGUUUUCUGUUUUUAGAUUAGAAU